AACGAACGCUGGCGGCAGGCUUAACACAUGCAAGUCGAACGCCCCGCAAGGGGAGUGGCAGACGGGUGAGUAACGCGUGGGAAUCUACCCAUCUCUACGGAAUAACUCAGGGAAACUUGUGCUAAUACCGUAUACGCCCUUCGGGGGAAAGAUUUAUCGGAGAUGGAUGAGCCCGCGUUGGAUUAGCUAGUUGGUGGGGUAAAGGCCUACCAAGGCGACGAUCCAUAGCCGGUCUGAGAGGAUGAUCAGCCACAUAGGGACUGAGACACGGCCCAAACUCCUACGAGAGGCAGCAGUGGGGAAUAUUGGACAAUGGGCGCAAGCCUGAUCCAGCCAUGCCGCGUGAGUGAUGAAGGCCUUAGGGUUGUAAAGCUCUUUCACCGGAGAAGAUAAUGACGGUAUCCGGAGAAGAAGCCCCGGCUAACUUCGUGCCAGCAGCCGCGGUAA
rnacentral:rRNA from 1 species